UACAGAGGGUGCAAGCGUUGUUCGGAAUUACUGGGCGUAAAGCGCGUGUAGGUGGCGACGUAAGUCGGGUGUGAAAUCCCUUGGCUUAACCAAGGAAGUGCACUCGAUACUGUGUUGCUUGAGUACUGGAGGGGAUGGCGGAAUUCCCGGUGUAGAGGUGAAAUUCGUAGAUAUCGGGAGGAACACCUGUGGCGAAGGCGGCCAUCUGGACAGUCACUGACACUGAGACGCGAAAGCGUGGGUAGCAAAC
rnacentral:rRNA from 1 species